rnacentral:tRNA from 1 species
AUCUAAUUAGUUUAGUUAAAAUGUUAAAUUGUGGAUUUAAAGAGGAUUUUUCAUUAGAUA